CAUUCAUAGACUUUCCAGAUGUAUGCCGUAAGUAAAUAUAAACAAAUGAUCUCAAUUCAUUUUCACAAACAAAAAUAGGGAGGGACAAGUGCAAUCAAGCAACACAACCUAAUCCAAUCCAAUCUAAACCAAUUUUGCAUGAAAGACACAAUUCAUUAUAUAGUCGGCACAUGCUUAAGUUGACACCGACAAGGACGAAAAGGACUCCGUGGAAGAGCAGGCCAAACCAAACCAAACGAAAUCAAACCAAACCAGACAAGAAAGUGCCAGCUAAUGCUUUCGGCUGUUAAAUCACCAGUAGUGGGCCCCCAGAGGGGUGUACUGUGCGUUGAAUAAUUAAUGAAAUCGGCUUUUGGAGGCGGAACCACGCCUUCUCUUAAGGGGGGAGGUCAAAAGUGAACCCAGGACCGAGCCACAGCAACGCAUAAUUUGUUGCAUAAGCGGGAUGAAUUUAAUCAGCAGAUUCGUGUCUGAUGGCUGCAACAGAAUCCAAAUUCCCAACGAGAGCAUUCAGUUAAAACAGUUUACGUUUUAAUUAACCUUGACGGUGACGAAAGCAAGAGCGAGAUGAGUUAGAAAAGCUCGUUAGCUAACCCUUAACAUUUCCUGCAAAAUGCUCGACUUAAUUGACUGAAGCUUGAAUUGCGUCUAAUUGAAAUUAGAUGAUGUAAUCUUGAUGAUGACCUCCUGCUCCACCACUCCAUCAAUUCAGCUGCAUCAUCACUUGAGAAGGACAUCCUGCCUGUACCGCCAUCAUCUAAUCAGUCAGGGCAAGGCCAGACAAGGACUUAAAAGCAAGGUGCGAGAUAACAACAGGCAAGCAGGCAGUAAGCCAGACGAACAGGAA